rnacentral:rRNA from 1 species
GGCGCUUUACUACAUGCAGUCGAGCGGAAGAUGGGAGCUUCUCCGGAGGUUAGCGGCGGGACGGGUGAGUAAACGUGGGGUACCCUGCCUGUAAACUGGGAUACUCCCGGAAACCGGGGCUAAAUCCCGAUGGUUUGUUGAACCCGCAUGUCAGACUUAAAGGGGGCUUUGGCUUCCCACUUACGGAGGGCCCCCCGCGCAUUUACCUAGGUUGGUGAGGGUACCGCCUCACCAGGGCAAACGAUGGCGCAGCCACCCUGAGAGGGUGGACCGCCCAACUUGGGACUGAGACACGGGCCCAGAUUCCUACGGGAGGGAGGCGGUAGGGGAAUCUUCCCGCCAUGGACGAAGUCUUGACGGAAGCCACCCCCCCGUGGAGUGAUGGAGGGUUUUCGAAUCUAAAAGCUUCUUGUUGUUAGGGAAAGAACAAGUUCCCGUUCAAAUUGGGGCGGCCCCCUUUGACGGUACCCUAAACAGGAAAGGCACGGCUUAAAUUACUGCCCAGCCGGCGCGCGGUAAUUCCCGUAGGUUGGGCAAGCCGGUGGUUCCGGGAAUUAUUUGGGGCGUAAAGGGCGUCUGCGAGGCCGGUUUCUUUAAGUCCUGGAUGGUAAAAGCCCCCCGGCUCAACCCGGGGAGGGGUCCAUUUGGGAAACUGGGGGAACUUUGAGUUGCAGGAAGAAGGAGGAGUUGAAUUCCCACGUGGUAGCCGGUGAAAAUGCGGUAGAGAUUGUGGAGGAACAACCAGUGGCGAAAGGCGAACUUCUCUGGUCUGUAACUGACGCUGAGGAGCAAAAGCAUGGGGAGCGAACAGGAUAGUA